ensembl:lncRNA novel transcript
GAGUCCUGAGCCAGCAGAGCUCAGGCCACAGCACCUGCACCCGUUUUCUGCUGCUGCACACAAGGGCUCUGUGCAUUCCGCAUCCAGAAGAUCUUAGAUUAGUAAGAUCAUGUUGGCCAUGGCAUGGAGAAUGGGCUGGAGGUGGAGAGACUGGAGGUUGGAAGUCCAGUUAGGAGAUUGCUCCUGCGCUGGGGAGUUGGUGUUAGGACAGAAGAUCCAAGACGCGUUUCAGAGAGCCCCUCUUCUUGGGCCUGCGAUUCCUCACCUGGAAGGGAGAAGAGUGGACUUCCUGCCUAGAGAACACCUUGGUAAACUCUUUGUGGUUCCUGUCAUGAGAAGGUGUGCAGCUUAGGGAAAAAGCCUGUGAGCUCUGGAAUCAGAUGGAACUGGAUAUGAAUUUCCAUUUAGUGCUUGUUGGAUUAAAUGUGAUGCUAACGGGUCUCACUAUGUUGCCCAGGCUGAUCUCAAACUCCUGUUCUCAAGCGAUCCUCCUACCCCAGCUUCCCAAAGUGCUGGCAUUCAAGUGAUGGAAUAGAAGUUUGGAGAGCUCAAGAACCUUGUCUAAGAUCACAUAAUUAGCAGGUGGUGGAGCUGGUGGAGCUGGGAUUUGAACCCUGGUCUAUGUGGCUUCCAAUAGGCCACUCCCCUAUGCUGAGAUGCUUUGAAAUUGCAACUGUCAAGAUCUUGCCCCUUGUGCAUUUUGAUGCCCCCAUGAGGGUGGACUCAGGGCAACAUUUCAGAUGUUAUUCCCAAAUCUCUCCCUGCUCCCCUUGGCUGAAUCCCUGAACUUCUGAAACAAGGCCUGUCUGUGGUUCCUGUUGUGGCCUUGAGGUAGGAUUUGACAAGUUGUCAAGUCCCGAGGUGCUGACCAACAUGCUCAUCUCAAGCUGAAAUAAUAAAAUAAAAAAUCUCUCCU